ACAAUCAACAUACAUCUGGAGCAUGUCUGCCUUUGCUAGCACAAGAUAUUAUAGUAACAUGGAAAAAUAUUUGAGUAUGACUGUCAUAUUGUUACAUAGUUACUAAUUCACGUGUUAUAAUAUGAGCAGACGACAAUUCAUAUUUGAAAGUAUAAAUUAAACACAUAAUAACAAGAGUUGUAACAUCACAUAGUGGUAUGACAGUUACAUAGAAUAAUUUAUUCAUAAUAUGAGGAUUAAUAAUAGUUUUUCUGUUACUUUACAUAAUGUCAACC
rnacentral:lncRNA from 1 species